UUUAUUUUGUCAUUUCAAAGUUGGAUUCUUAGACAACCUUUUAGAGAGAGAACCCUAGAGAGAAGGAUUUCUCUCCCACCCACCCCUUUUCGUGCUUCUUCCGAAAAGCUUGGUCGGAAUCCCAGAGUGCUGGAGUGUCGCCGUUGACUAAAGUAUUGUCUGUUUCGCGAACCGUCACCAGAGCACAUUCCGACAUUUGGAAGCAACUGCCACCGAAAGCGCCGCCUUUCCGCCGCCAUUGGAUCGUUCCUUUGGGCAAUCGUUUGUUGUUGUUCGUGUAAUGGAGGAACUUUGUCAAUAGAGUGAAACUUCUCAUAGCAGGAAAACGAGAAUGUAAGGUUAAGAUAAGAGAUGUGGGUGUUCUUUAGAAAUUUUGUGAACCUGUAUGAAAGUGAAAGCAAGCAAGAGAGGAGGCUUGGAAUUUAGAGCACCAAGAGUUAAAGUUUUCUUUCCUAGAAAAUGAGAUUGUAGGCCUAUGUCAAGCCCUCAAUGAUGUUUUGGAUAGCAUGACCAAGAAGGGUUUUCCAGUUCCUGUUUAACGUGGAUGAUUUUGACAAUUUAUUUGUUGAUACGUUCUUAGGAAAUAAGAAUGACAUUCCAUAUGCUACAUCAGAAGAAGAGCUAUUGUUAGUUAAUAUGUUGAUGUACAAUGAAUUGUUCUUUCCCAUUAAUUUGAAUUGAAUUUCAUUGUAUGAAAGUGGUUGAAUGAGAUUUAUUUUAUGUUUUA